UCCAUUGCUCAGCUGGUAGAGCACAAGGCUCUUAACAUUGUGGUCGUGGGUUCAGGCCCCACGAUGGAG
rfam:Triticum aestivum genome assembly, contig: Triticum_aestivum_CS42_TGACv1_scaffold_621572_7DS